ensembl:lncRNA
AGUGAAGCUGGGGAGGGGAGAGACUUUCCCCAAGAACAUCAGCCUGGAAUGAAUGGAGCUGGGAUUUAGGGUCAUUUAGGGCUAAGAAUCCUUUGCCCUGUAUCUUCUCAGUUCCAAGUGGUUCAUGACUUUGCUCCACGGCCUUCAGGGUCUUGCCUUCCCCAGGGCUCCUGGCUGCUAGGAUGACACACAUUUCCUCUGGCUGAAGAUGUGUGGAGACUCUGCCUGGAAGCUUGGGAAAGGAAUUUUCCCCAUUUUGUAGUCAGAAACAGCUUAGAAAAGUAUGACUCAGAGCACUUCUUCUUCCUAUUUCCCACAAGCAAGGUCAUGCACUGGGUAUGUUGCCUGAAGGCCUGAUGGUGCAUGAAAUGAUGCACCAUGGAAAUGAAGACAUGUAGCUGAAGAUGCCUGGCUAUAAUCGUGAGUGAGCAACUUUGCAGUAUGAUGAGCCAUAGAGGGAGAGAAGAGUGGAGGAGGUAAAUGUUUUCAGGCACAAAUGGAUGGAUGGAAGGAUGGAUGGACGGACGGAUGGACCAAUGGAUGGAUGGCGGACAGACAGACAGAUUCCCUCUCAUAGGGUAGCCUAUGGAUGAGGGGAGAGAUGGAUAACACCAAGGUGUAGGGAAAGCUGUAGCCAUGCCUUCUUAGAGGCUGGCUACAGGUGUGCCUGACCAGGCUUGUGAGGGCGUGGUCAGAGUGACGUAGUGGGACUGCGUUUUCGGUUUUGGUUUCUCUUUGCUUCUUGCUGUACAGACCUCUACCACGCCAGCUGGCUGGGUCACUCUAUUUGCACGUGCAGCAAUAAGAUGCUAGAGCUGAUUGCUAAUUGCUUAAAUAUAUGAAGAAAUUUCAAGAGAGGCAGAACUACAAACAUUUUUCUGAAAGAAUGCACUCCAGUGUCUGCCUUUGACUUCCUUCUUAUAGAGGCAAUCCAAGGGCUCACCUGCUCCAACAGGAGAGUCUAGAAGAUGGUUGUGAAAACAGCAUCAAAUUAGAAGCAGUUGCACCUUGCUAUAGAAUGGAGAGCAAUAAGUGAGGCCGCUGUAGCUCAGAGUUCUGUAUGUUUUGUCCAUGCUCACUGAGCCCUAGUGCCACCAGUUAUGAAACAGUGUAAGAGAACAUCAAGAGCAAUGAUGGUAUGGGCACAUUCUGGUGUUCAACAUUUGCCCAUCUGCAUUGAUUGGAUAACCUAAGUACUCAACCUACUGACAGCAUGGACCCUUAAAGUUAAUUGUGAUUCCUUUUUCUUGGCAAAUGUUCCCAUGUACCCAUUUAGUUAAGAAAUAUGUAUUUAGUGCUAAAGAGAUGACUCCAGGUUAAGAGUGAAUGUUGCUUUUGCAGAGGACCCAACUUGGGUUCAAGGCAUCCACAUUGGAUGUUCACAACCACCUCUAACUCCAGCUCUAAAAAAUCCUACACCCUUUCCUGACUUCCUGUGAACACACACUAACACACACACACACACACACACACACACACACACACACACACACACACUCACACAUACACAUCCACACACUCACAAUUAAAAAAAUCACCCAAAAGAGAGAAAUAUUUAUUGUGUACAAGCUAAGUAACUCUCAGUUACUAGGCUGCAAUGGUAACAGACACAGUCUCUCCUCCUUUGACUGGCUAAUGGAGGAAAUCUGCACACAACAUGAGAUGCUUAUGAUGACAUAACACAGAGGAUCUUGGCCUAGACUGAAAUUUUGGAAGGCUCCUCAGAGAAAACUGCUUAGGAGCUGGGUCCUGACAAACAAGUGAAAGCUAUACAGAUGGAGGGGAAUAGGCAAGAAUUCCAAAUUCUUGCCUCCCUUCAGGCACGGGAGGAAAUGAAGAGGACAGGUUAUCCUGCAAUUAGAAUGGAAGAGGAGGCAAGGGAUGGAAUGACUAUAGGCUGACCCUAUGCACUUGAACUCAGUCCUAAGAGCAACAGAAAACUUCAAGGAAUUCUAAGCCACCAACAAAGCAAUCACAUAAGUGGAUGUUUGAUGAGGAAUCUGUUUUUAUUUAAACCUUGGGAUUCUCCCUAUUGCCAUAAUGUUAACUAUGUACUCUCAUUUUUAUAUUUAAAUUUCUUACUCUCAUUUGUCCACAAUUUAUGUAAAUCAUUUUUCAAGUUAUAGUUACUUCCACCUUUUAAAACAUGUCACAAGCAAAUUGUUUGAGUUUUAACUCAAAAUGACAGCAGGAUCCACAAUUACAAGUUACCCACUGGGGCACAAAAAGCAGGGGAGUUGUCAAUAAAAUGCAUGCACUGAAAAAUUCCCAUUAAAACGUUCCCAAUUCAAAUUUAGAGGAAGCACAGCAAUGGUUAGACUAGGAAACAGAAAGGCAAAUAAGUGAAAGUCAUUGACAAAAUCACAUUCAAAACCCUGGCUGUUAAAAUCACCACACCCUGGCUUUUGACAGCAGGCACAACUUUGGAAAGCCAACCACUGCUGACAAGCCAUGCCAGGUAAGGCAGGUCCUGCCAGCAAACUGGGGCCUUGGUGGAAAAGAUACAUCUGUGUUUGACAGAAGCGAUGCCAUGGCAAACAAACUUAGCCUUGAACCUCCUAGGCCUAGAACAUACUAGGAAAUCAUGGCCAGUAGCACUUUGGGGCCUGGGAAAGAUACAACACUUAAGGCUGGACCAUUCUUGUAAUGAAGGUAGUCACAGGAAGGGAUUCUAAAUUCUGUGGUUCUUUUGUUUCCACUAUAAAAAUCAAUGAGCUACUUUCUAGCCCGCUUUAUUUGAACAUUUUCUAUACUCAGAACAGCCUACAUAGCAAACAGAAACAGUGAGCAUUUGCAGUUGCAACAUAUUGUGCCUUAUCAAAGCCCCAAGCCUCAGAUUUCUGGUACAGUGUUAUUUAGGAAAAGCACUACUCUCAAGCUGAAGACAUUAUUUGAUCAAAUAAAGGAUUUAUGGACCACAAACAAGGGGGUGAUAGCAGCUGUGUGGGGAGUGUGGAACAUCAAGAGGCUUUGAGUUAGAAACGUGAAAACUAUUUUAGGAGAUGGGAAGAGAGAAAACAGGUGAGAGCAUUUUUUUUUUUUUUACUUUUAGUGUGCAGUAGCUUGGCUGUGUACAUUAUACACAACUUUUAAAUGGUACAAUAAAGCUCAAGUUUACAGCCCCCCAUGGUACAGAAAAUACAGAUGACAAAGUAAAGCUUACCCACUGCUGCCAUCCAAUCACUGCUGAUACUACUAUACCUACUUUCUCAAAAUUACUGGGGAAUUCUCUCACUUUCCCUUCGUUUAUAACUAUGUACACAAGUCUCAUUUUAAUAAUGUGUAGGACUACAUAUUCACACAUUAAAGAUAGGAUCCUAUCUCACAUAUUUUUUAAAAGAUUUAUUUAUUAUGUGUCCAGUGUUCUGCCUGCAUGUAUCCAUACAGACAAGAAGAAGAGGCACCAGAUCUCAUUAUUGGUUGCUGGCAAUUGAACUCAGUACUUCUGGAAGACCUAGUGUUCUAAACCACUGAGCCAUUUCUUUGUGUUCUUGACAAUUACAAAAAGCAGCCUCUAGAAUUUGAGUUUGAUGAAUGCAGAGACUUGAUUGCUGUCUUCCUAACAUGUAGAACACCUAUCUUCCUGAAUGGGUCAAUAGCUAUUGUUUGGAUGCACAGUAGGUGGACAUUGCUGCAAGUUAGUCAAGAAUAGAUUUGUGCUCACACUAUGUGACUAUAUAAUUACAUGAUUAAAAUUACAAGCGCAUCAAUAUCCUAGCUGUUUAGUCUGCUUCUUCUAAUCCUGUCUUCUCAGGCCAAGUGCCCUCUGUUCAAUCAAAUCCCUUUCAGUCUCACUACCCUUCCCCAAGUUCUUCUGACUCCCAUGAUGCUUUCUUCAUUCUUAUGUUUUCUUUUGUUUUUCUUUGUUUUUCAGUGCUGAGGAUUUAACUCAGAGCCUUGCACAUGAUAGGCUAGGGUUCUGCCUCUGGCCUUCUGACUCCCAUGGAAUACUCUUCCAUUCUUUUGGACAUUUAGCACGCCCCCCCCCACACACACACACCCCUCCACCUCAAUGUUGCCAAUCAGUAACUGGGUCCCUUUGUUCUCCCAGCUAGAAAUCAUCAGUAGGUAAAAACCAGUUCCUGUUCUGAUCUUUGGUAGCUGAGAUGGCUUAUCAUGGUUGUCAAUUUGACUACAUCUGUAGUCAAUUAAAACCCAGACUGCUGGGUAUGCCUAUGAGGGAUUUUCUUGAUCUGGUAAUUUGAAAUGAGAAGAACGACCCUAAACUGGGCCACACCUUCUGGUGGCAGCCCCCAUAAAAGGACAGGGAGGAAGGAAGCCUUUGCUUUCUGCCUGCUUGACCUUACUCUCACUAGUUUAUGUAUCCUGUUGCUGAAGUAUUCCUUUGAUUGGAUUAGAACUUUGUGAUUCCAAGUUAUACUCUAUAUCAACAGUUCCUCUGGAAUCACCCAGUACUUUAGCAAAAGAUUGAGGCUACUGAGAUAUUCAGUUUCAUGGACUGAACAGCUCUGGAUUCUUGGCCUUUCUGUUGCAGAAAGCCAUCGUUCAGCUACUGGACCUCAGCCUGUAUAUGCCAAUCUAAUAAGCCCCCCAUCUCUCUCUCUCUCUCUCUCUCUCUCUCUCUCUCUCUCUCUCUCUAUCUAUCUAUCUAUAUAUAUAUAUAUACACACUUAUACAUGCAUAUAUAUACAUAUAUAUAUGUAUAUAUAAAGAGAUAAAGAUAGAUAUAGAUGGUAUAGACACAGAUGGCAGAGAUGUAGAUGGUAUGGAUGAUAUAGAUUUGGAUGGUAUAAAAACAGAUAUCAACGAUAUAGAUAUAGACAGCAUCUUUCAUAUCCCUUGGCAUUUGGCAGCAGCAAACAGUAGCAACAGGCAGGUGUGAGCAGCCCCACUGAAGCUCUCCACUGUAACAGCUCCUGCAGGUAUUAUGUAGCAGACCUUAGCUUUACAAGUGUUACAGCCUCUGCCGAGCCUAUGCCAGAGACCGGUGUUAGAGCUCCUAGGCCUGAGAGAUCUGAGCCUCUUGGCCCCACAGAUUUGACAAGUCUCUUCCAGUGACCAGGAACUUCAGUUUCUCUUAUCUAGCUCUUUAUGGCUCCUGAUCUAUCUUUGAUUUCAGCUCUCCAUCCUAUCUCUUCUUCACUACCCCCUAAUUUGUGCUUUGGCUGUCACUUGAACUGCUCAAUGGACUCUUGCCAAGGCUGGUGUAAGAGUUGUCACCAUAGAGGACGAGCAGCUACCGUCACUCGACAGUCUUGUGGCUUUGCCUCUCAGCUGCCACCAACUUUCUGCUGCCUCUGCCAUCAGUGCUACCCAGCCACACCUAUUGCUACUUUCAAGUUACCAGUUACUGUCCUACCUAGAGACAAACAAGAAAACAACACACCAAAGGAGUCUUUUGUUCGGCCUACUAGUGUCACACAGGAUAAUGUCUCCCAAGUAAGCCAAGCUCAACUGGUGAGCACAACAGCUGGAAUAAAAAGCCAGAGAAGGUUUGUUUGCCCAGUCUAAACAAAUGGAACACAGCUUUGCCCAGUUAAAAUAAUAUUCCACAACAAUGGAUGCUGUGAUCAGGCUUAUCAACAACCCGUCUCUUAUUCCCCUUGGUGAUCCCAGAUGCUUGCAUGGGACAUGAAACUCUCAGCAGGUAGUUGUGUGAGUUAAUGCAAGCAACUCAGGAGUGAAGUAAUGCUAAAAGAAGUUAAAGGAUCAGGGACAAGUCAUACUCCCUUGAAUUCAAAGUCAGGUUUUGGGGAGUAAUUCAGUGGUAGAGCACUUGAUCAUUGCUCUAGGUUUGAUCCUCCAUGUAGCCACCAAGCAACCAAUAAACAACACAAAAGCAAACCCCUCUAUCUACUUGGGAAGCUCAGGUGGGAAUGUCAUGAAUUUAAGGCCAUCCUGGGAGGCAUAUGUUCAGAAACUGAACAAAAACAAGAGUUCCAAGCCACAAAUAUGAUUUAGGCCUUUCCCUCAUUCCCUCAUAAUAAAGGUGGUCUUUUGUUUGUUUGUUUGUUUGUUUGUUUGUUUGUUUUUACUAUAUCCCAUACAUCAGACCGUUAUUCAUGGCAUUUGCUGAUGGUUUUAAAAUUAUGGUAAAAUAUGCAGAAUGAACUUAGCCAUCAGAAUGAUUCGUAAACAUGCAGUUCAGUAGUGUGGAGUACAUCUGCUCUGUUGUACAGCUGAUCUUGAGAACCCCUUUCCCGUGUCCACACUAAAGCUGUGUACUCAUUGGACAAUGACCCGCCCCGUGUCCACACUAAAGCUGCAUACUCAUUGGACAAUGACCCGCCCCGUGUCCACACUAAAGCUGC